GAAAACCAGCCUGGCAACAUAGUGCGUAUUAAUAAAAGGACACCACAUCCUGCCAAAUUCCAGCUGCGCUAAUUGUAUUGUGUUCACAGAGCUCACAAGCUAUCAGAAAGUUGUAUGGCAACCACCUCCGGCGCCAAAUAGAACUGGCAGACAUAGACAUUCAGUACAAGAAGAAAAAGAUGGAAAAUCUUGCACUGGAGUCCGAAAUAAAAAAGAGGACAAUUAGGAAACUGGACCUUGAAAUAAAAAAACUUGAGGGAGCUCCAAGAAGAUGACACAGCUCAAAAUAAAAAUUAGCAAUCAGUACAACCAAGUCAUCGUUAUAAGGCAUCGCCCUCUUUUGCCCACCCCCCCAGCACCAGGUGUGGC